UACAGAGGUCUCAAGCGUUGUUCGGAUUCAUUGGGCGUAAAGGGUGCGUAGGCGGCGCGGUAAGUCGGGUGUGAAAUCUCGGAGCUUAACUCCGAAACUGCAUUCGAUACUGCCGUGCUUGAGGACUGGAGAGGAGACUGGAAUUUACGGUGUAGCGGUGAAUGCGUAGAUAAUCGUAAGGAAGACCAGUGGCGAAGGCGGGUCUCUGGACAGGUUCCUGACGCUGAGGCACGAAGGCCAGGGGAGCAAACGGG
rnacentral:rRNA from 1 species